rnacentral:lncRNA from 1 species
UGGCCAAUGCCUUGGCCAGUGCCACGUGUGAGCGCUGCAAGGGAGGCUUUGCGCCUGCUGAGAAGAUCGUGAACAGUAAUGGUGAGCUGUACCACGAACAGUGCUUCGUAUGUGCUCAGUGCUUCCAGCAGUUCCCAGAAGGACUCUUUUAUGAGGUGGGUCAACUCAGCUGUCCUUCACUUUCAGAUUCCUUACCAGAGAUUGAGUAAGUGCCAGGUAUUUAGUACCUGGGAGGUCAGUGGUGGAAUGCAUGUGGAACCUGUGGGUCCCAACCUAAAUAGGAUACCCAGGCAUAACUACCUACAUUCAUGCCCGUCAGUACAUCUCAGUUCAGAAGCUACAGUGUCUUGUAACUGCCCAUCAGACCUGAGUACUUCUUCUCCAAGUACAGAAUCCUUUCUCUAGCCUGCAGCAGAAGCAUCUCUGCCCCCAAAUGCGCGCUCCUACAUCGAAUCUGCCCAGCCUCACCCCUGGGCCUUACUUUAUCAGGAUGUCACUGCACAUCUUCCUAAAGGGGAACCCAUGUCACCAACUUCCUGAUUUCCAGGCCAUAUUCUGCAGAUUUCCAUGCAUGUAUUUCGUAAAGAGGAUCUUGUUAGGACUUGAGCACUACAGGAACCACUCUGUUUAGCCCUUCUAUGUGUCUUAAGCUAUUUUCUGAACACUUGUUUUUCUUGAUGUCAUCGUGUGAUCUGUACUUCAAUUGUAUUGAAACUUUCUUAUCACAGGAAAUGUAUUAUGGAGGUGGCUAGGAAAGCUCAUUCCCACAUCAUGAGUGAACAUGAGAGUAAUCACUUUGGCAAUUCAUUUUUGUUAGCAUCCCACUUAACAUAUUUGCAAAUGUGUGCAUUUUUAUAUGAUACAUGUGCAUAGAAUUCUGAUAAAGCUAAGAAUGUCUGUUCUUUGAUUUCUUUUUUAAUUAUUAUUUUAUGUAUAUGGGUGUUUUCCAUGCAUAUAUAUCUGUGUGUCAUAUGCAUGCCUAGUGCCCUUAAAGGCCAAAAGAGAUGAUCCAUUGGAACUGGAUUUAAAGCGGGUUGUGAGCUGCCAUAUUGAACUAAGGUCCUCUAUUCUUAAUGGCCAAACCAUCUCUCCCCUUUGAGGUAUUUUUCCUUUUCUCCUACCAGACUUCGAUUUUUCUGUCUCUAUGCCUGAAAAAGGAAAGGUAGUUUAUAGCAGUCAUUACUAAACUAUUAGUACCACUGAGGCCUUUCCCUGCUCUGGGCAGAUUGAAAUUCCCACGCCAGCCUGGAAAACACCAUUUGUUCCCCCAUAGAUGUU